rnacentral:sRNA from 1 species
UGCUUUGUUGGUUUGACAAGAUGGGCAU